AUUGAACGCUGGCGGCACGCCUUACACAUGCAAGUCGAACGGUAACAGGUCUUCGGAUGCUGACGAGUGGCGAACGGGUGAGUAAUACAUCGGAACGUGCCCGAUCGUGGGGGAUAACGGAGCGAAAGCUUUGCUAAUGCCGCAUACGAUCUACGGAUGAAAGCAGGGGACCGCAAGGCCUUGCGCGAACGGAGCGGCCGAUGGCAGAUUAGGUAGUUGGUGGGAUAAAAGCUUACCAAGCCGACGAUCUGUAGCUGGUCUGAGAGGACGACCAGCCACACUGGGACUGAGACACGGCCCAGACUCCUACGGGAGGCAGCAGUGGGGAAUUUUGGACAAUGGGCGCAAGCCUGAUCCAGCAAUGCCGCGUGCAGGAUGAAGGCCUUCGGGUUGUAAACUGCUUUUGUACGGAACGAAAAGGCUCUGGUUAAUACCUGAGGCUCAUGACGGUACCGUAAGAAUAAGCACCGGCUAACUACGUGCCAGCCGCCGCAGUAAAAC
rnacentral:rRNA from 1 species